rnacentral:rRNA from 1 species
UACGAAGGGGGCUAGCGUUGCUCGGAAUCACUGGGCGUAAAGCGCACGUAGGCGGAUCUUUAAGUCAGGGGUGAAAUCCUGGAGCUCAACUCCAGAACUGCCUUUGAUACUGGGGAUCUCGAGUCCGGAAGAGGUGAGUGGAACUCCGAGUGUAGAGGUGAAAUUCGUAGAUAUUCGCAAGAACACCAGUGGCGAAGGCGGCUCACUGGCCCGGUACUGACGCUGAGGUGCGAAAGCGUGGGGAGCAA